UAACUGGGAUUGGCAACGGGAUCACGUGAGCGCAUCAUUUGUGUGUAAAAACUUUUUGCAGUCUCUGUUAUGAUUUUCAAGAUGGCGGCUGUCAAUGUCUGGAGUAUGAAGUUGCUCUUUUCUCUUUUAAAAAUGUAUUUAGCUUUAUGAAAAAUCUACUGCAAAGUUAUAAUGGCGGCUUUAAGGUUCUGAUCGGUUAUUGUAAGUUAAUAUUUGUUUUAAAUUGUUUAAAUCUUCAAUUUGCGGCUAAAAUUCCAUUUGCGUACCUCUGUAGCCCAAAUAUUUGUUUCUGCAACUUCUCUUGUUUCUCCAGAGUGUUCUUUAGGAAAUAUUCAAGAAAAACCAGUUUGCCAUGGUAUGACCUUUGCGUACCUCUCAGGAGAAUAGACUAAAUUCUAUUGCUAUGAAACUACAAUAAAGAGACUCUUUACAUGUUUUUACAUUGUUUAAAGUUGUUUUUAAAUUUUCCUUGUUGCUGGUUUUUUAGUUAUAACAAUUUACAUUCAGCCA